AACUUUCUAGUACUAACGCUAGUAUGAGUGACUUCCAAUCACCUGGUCUUGGUUAAAAUCCAAGGAAAGAUA
rnacentral:tRNA from 1 species